CCAACCUGUGGCAAGUUGACAUAAGUCAACCCAGCAUGCUCUGAUAAACACCAUGAUGGAAAGCAACGUGGGGAGUUACAAUCCAUCAUUGAGGGACGCCAAUGCAGGAACCUGGAGGCAAGAACUGAAGCAACGUAGUAGCUUGGAGAGCAUUCCUCGAGCAAGAAAAUGAACAAAAUCCCGGAUGGCUCCUGCUCUGAUGCCUUCGACCCAGACAGCAUCCUGGAGAGCACCAGCCAAAAGAAACACCUGAAGGUAGACAGCAAACCCAUCGAGAGAAGAGGCCCCAGGAGUAAGCUGAUGACUUGGGGACAGAGCCAGGGAUACUCUAACUCAUCAAGCUGACUUUGGGGAAACAUCAAGGACACUAUACUAACCCCCAAAAUGGUGAUGCUGAUAAUUGCCUUGUGCAGGGACGUGGUCUUUGCCAGCUGGAGUUAGUUGAAUUCUGAGGACUCUGAGGUGUAUAAAUACAAGAGCCCAGAGAGAGAAAGAGUGGUGGCUUGGAGGAAAUGGACAGAAGACUUCUUGCUGAGUUUGCUGGUUACCUGGACUGCUGGAUAUCCUGACAACUGAGAUUGGUAUUGCGCCAAAAGAACCUGCCAACCCUACCCAGCCAGAAGGAGUAAAGAGAUCUACGUCCCCUUCCCCUUCUAACCUUCUUUGUCUCCUGCCUAGGGUUGGGGAGUCGGAAAGGAGGUAGAUUCUUCAGGAACCUUAAAUAGGGUUUAAAAAACUAGUGCCUACAGUUAGUUAUUCUUAUAAUCCUUGUAUACUUGCUUAUAUUAAUUAGACUCGCCGUAGAGGCAAUGCAUUCAGGCUUGGCCUCUAUUACAACCACGAUCUCUUCUUUUAAAAAUUUAGAAGAGAGGGGAUCAUGGGAGCACAAAGGUCCUUGUGCUCUCACAUAAACCCUAGAGAAACCAGGAAUGUUAAAUAUGCAAGGCUAUCUCUUCAACAGAAGAGAAAAGUACAACCUGUUUUCUACCUGGAAAUCUGGGGAUGGGAGUGGCUAAAAAGCUAAGUGACCCCUGUACCAUCACCAUCGGUAAGACCAGGCCAUCCCUACCUUCCUCAAGCUCCCACAAGCAGAACUGGAGGUGGCCAGUAGUCUAGGUGACCUUUGUUUCAAGACCCCACCAGAGGACCCCUCCUGCCACCGCCAUUAAGAUAAGACAUGUAGCCUAUUUCUAGAACCCAUCUUCAUGGAAGAAGUGACAUAUACUUUUAAGAAAAGUUUUGAUGUAAUUAUACCUUCUUGUGCAUAUGGUAUUGUGCUACACCAGGAAACUUUCUUUUCAAAUUGUUCUAUACUUAAAUAUGCCUAAAAUAAACUACCUGAAGUCAGGCUCUCCAAGUUUGAACCAACACCAGCUACUGAGUUGUCUUGAACCAAACCGUCUUACCUCCCUUGGAUUGUUACUGUGCGGGCCUUGGUGGAUGCAGAGGUCCCUACAGAAAAAGGAGAAAAAUAAAGAAAUGAACUGACUAUAGAAUUUAUGAUUUGUUGAUAGUUCUCAAAAUUUUUUUCCUUCCAUUCAAAGUAUAUAAAGUGCUGUGUUGAAAGCCUGCUUAAAUUAGAUCACCUUUCUUUUGUAAUUUCAAUAUGUUGAUUGGUUCUGAAAUAGUGGGUUUUUCAUCUCCGUUAAUCCAAUAGAGAGAAUCCCCACAAGCAUACACCAAAGCUAACCUCAUCUAGAUGCUCCUGGAAGUUCCUGGCAUUCCCGGAAGUUCCCCUCAUUUCUCCUAGCUAAUUUUAGGUUCUUUCAAAUUGACAAAAUUAGCCAUCACAUGCCUAGUUCUAUCCAGUUAAUAUUUCUCCAUCAUCCUCACUUUCUUACACCUUUAAUUUUAUUUUUGAACACUUAAAACAUCUUUAUUUCUAAAAUACAAGUGACAGAGAUGUAUUGAAAUGUAAGUCUGGAAAACAUAGUGUAUGAUUGGGAAAACCCUUUCCACAUGAGCUUCCAGGAGAAAGGUGAUGUUACCCCCAGUGAGGUAAAGACUGCGAUGGAGCAGAGCUAGCCCAGUGAUUGCUGGAGCCUCAUUCAGGUGCAGGAGCAGAGCAUUACAUGUGUGUUCCUGUGCAGUUUACAGACAGCACAUCCAAAAGAGAGUUCCCCAAAGACGAACUAAAACAUGGACUAUUGUAGAGGUACAAAUACGGUAGAGAAGUGUUGCUUAGUAAUUCAGCACAGACACUAACCCAAGUAGAGUUUUAAAGUCAUUUACUGAAAUGAGCACUUGAUUGUUGGGCUAUUUUCAGUUAGCGAUUUCAUUGCCAUUUUAUGCCAAAGAUUUCCAUUUUCAUCUUUUAUAUUUUAUGUCCAGUUUAGCAGUUGUAUGAGACACGUUUAAUAAUAAAUUACAAAAUAUUAUUUCUGUUACUUCUUUUACCUCUCUGCAGAGAGAUUUUUUUUCUUUUCAGCUGUUUCCUACGAACUCUUGUAGGCAGCUGUUGGGAUCCUCCAGAGACACCUAGAACCCUGUGUAGAGAAGACUGUGUGCUAGAUCUGCCUGGAUAAUAUAGAAGCCACUAAGCACAGGGGCAAAAGCCUUUGAAAUGUGAGCAGUGUGGUCCUGAAACUAAGUUAACUUUAAAUGAUAACAAUUUAAAAGCAAAUGAUCAUAGAGAGACGGCAGCUACCAUAUUGUAGAACUCAGCGUAGCAAUAACAACAACAAAUCUGUGUAUUAGGCUAGGAUUUGGAAUAUGUUAUUCUAAGAGUUUCUCUUUAAAAUUAAAAGCAAAAUAGUUAUUGAUUUUA